rnacentral:rRNA from 1 species
AUUGAACGCUGGCGGCAGGCUUAACACAUGCAAGUCGAGCGAGCGGCGGACGGGUGAGUAAUGUCUGGGAAACUGCCUGAUGGAGGGGGAUAACUACUGGAAACGGUAGCUAAUACCGCAUACCAUCAGAUGUGCCCAGAUGGGAUUAGCUAGUAGGUGGGGUAAUGGAUCACCUAGGCGACGAUCCCUAGCUGGUCUGAGAGGAUGACCAGCCAGCCUGUAACUUGGACAUGGGCCAGAGUCCGACGGGAGGCAGUAGUGGGGAAUAGUGCAGAAGGGGCGCAAGCCUGAUGCAGCCAUGCCGCGUGUGGGAAGAAGGCCUUCGGGUUGUAAAGCACUUUCAGCGAGGAGGCGUUACUCGCAGAAGAAGCACCGGCUAACUCCGUGCCAGCCGCCGCGGUAAUAC